rnacentral:rRNA from 1 species
UACGAAGGGGGCUAGCGUUGUUCGGAUUUACUGGGCGUAAAGCGCACGUAGGCGGAUCGUUAAGUCGGGGGUGAAAUCCUGGAGCUCAACUCCAGAACUGCCUUCGAUACUGGCGAUCUUGAGUCCGGAAGAGGUGAGUGGAACUCCUAGUGUAGAGGUGGAAUUCGUAGAUAUUGGGAGGAACACCAGUGGCGAAGGCGGCUCACUGGACCGGUUCUGACGCUGAGGCGCGAAAGCGUGGGGAGCAACGGG